rnacentral:rRNA from 1 species
UACGUAGGGUGCAAGCGUUAUCCGGAAUCACUGGGCGUAAAGCGUGCGUAGGUGGCGUGUUAAGUGAGAUGUUAAAUCGUGUGGCUCAACCAUAUCGAUGCAUCUCAUACUGGCAUGCUAGAGGACGGCAGAGGCAAGUGGAAUUGGUAGUGUAGCAGUGAAAUGCGUAGAUAUUACCAGGAACACCAGUGGCGAAGGCGAGUCCCUGGACAACACCUGACACUGAGGCACGAAAGCUAGGGGAGCAAACAGG